CAGCAGCCGCGGUAAUACGGAGGGGGCUAGCGUUGUUCGGAAUUACUGGGCGUAAAGCGCACGUAGGCGGCUUGGUAAGUUAGAGGUGAAAGCCCGGAGCUCAACUCCGGAAUUGCCUUUAAGACUGCCGAGCUAGCAGGUGAGAGAGGUAAGUGGAAUUCCGAGUGUAGAGGUGAAAUUCGUAGAUAUUCGGAAGAACACCAGUGGCGAAGGCGGCUUACUGGCUCAUACUGGACGCUGAGGUGCGAAAGCGUGGGGAGCAAACAGGAUUAGAUACCCCCGUAGUCCCUGUCUCUUAUAC
rnacentral:rRNA from 1 species